rnacentral:rRNA from 1 species
GAUGAGCGCUGGCGGCGUGCCUAAUACAUGCAAGUCGAGCGAACAGAUGAGAAGCUUGCUUCUCUGAUGCUAGCGGCGGACGGGUGAGUAACACGUGGGUAACCUACCUAUAAGACUGGGAUAACUCCGGGAAACCGGGGCUAAUACCGGAUAAUAUUUUGAACCGCAUGGUUCAAUAGUGAAAGACGGUUUCGGCUGUCACUUAUAGAUGGACCCGCGCCGUAUUAGCUAGUUGGUAAGGUAACGGCUUACCAAGGCGACGAUACGUAGCCGACCUGAGAGGGUGAUCGGCCACACUGGAACUGAGACACGGUCCAGACUCCUACGGGAGGCAGCAGUAGGGAACCUUCCGCAAUGGGCGAAAGCCUGACGGAGCAACGCCGCGUGAGUGAUGAAGGUCUUCGGAUCGUAAAACUCUGUUGUUAGGGAAGAACAAAUUUGUUAGUAACUGAACAAGUCUUGACGGUACCUAACCAGAAAGCCACGGCUAACUACGUGCCAGCAGCCGCCGUAA